GCGCCCAUGCUAAUCUGUACAUCCAGAGAGCAAAGUGGGAUGAUCUGUCACUACACCUGCAGCACCACGCUCGGAGGACAGCUCCUGCUUGCAGCUUCCAGAUUCAGGCAAUCUGCUUCUGCUGCUAAGUGUCCUUUGGUGGCUGAUUGCAGCUUCAGGGUUUAA
rnacentral:lncRNA from 1 species